rnacentral:tRNA from 1 species
AGCGGAGUAGAGCAGUUUGGUAGCUCACGAGGCUCAUAACCUU